CUGAGCAGACACGCACGACUCCAACACAUCAUAAAGUUUGCUUAUGACACGACGGUGGUAGGCCUGAUCACCAACGGCGAUGAGACAGCCUUCAGGGAGGACGUCAGAGACUUGGGAGUGUUGUGGGACAACAACCUCUCCCUCAAUAUCGAUCUAUCGCUGCCUUUGACACCGUGGACCACCAGAUCCUCUUCUCCACCCUCUCAGAGCUGGGCGUCUAGGGCGCUGCACACUCUUGGAUUGCAUCCUACCCGACAGGCCGCUCCUACCAGGUGGUGACAUGCAUAUCUCAGCUUGGGUGUCAGCCCACCACCUCAAGCUCAACCUCGACAAGACGGAACUACUCUUCCUCCCGGGAAAGGCCUGCCAGCUCAAAGCCCUCUCCAUCCCAGUUGACAACUCCACACUGUCACCCUCCCAAAGUGCAAAGAACCUUGGCGUGACCCAGGACAACACCCUGUCGUUCUCUGCAAACAUCAAAGCAGUGACCCGCUACUGCAGGUUGCUCUACAACAUCCGUAGAGUACAACCCUACCUCACACAGGAAGUGGCGCAGGUCCCAAUCCAUUAAAAAAAAACAUUUAAAAGGACUAUGUGGGUUACGUGCCCCUGUGCCCCCUAUGGCCAUGAAGCCUCUCUCACUCACUACAUGAGCUUGUGUGACUUUGCUAACACAAUCAACAGUAUGUUAAUUAAGAGACCUUCCUUGUCCAUCAGUGUUCAGUUUAUUUGAAGCAUUACUUAAUGAGGUCAAGAUCAACAAGACUACAUUCUCUGUCACAUAAGAAGUCAGUUUGUGCUUACAGUUUGUUUGUUUACAGCACUGUUAUAGACACAUGAUACCCAUGAGGUACAGUCUAUUUUUAAAUGGAGCCUUAUGUGUGAAGCUGACACCAACAGCCACUGAGAGUGAUAAGACAUUGAGGAAGACUAGAGCUCUGAAAUGUCUGAGUUUGUAUGUGAAAAGCAGCGAAAACAUGAGUUGGAGAGAAAGGGUUUCCUCUGUACUAUUCUUUAUCUGCAGCUAGUGUUUGUUGAGUAAAGGUGCUGUACGGUCAUGCAGGGACAAGAGCCUUCCAAUCUAGAGACUGUUAUGCCUCAUGGUCGUGGGAGGAUUUGUAGGACAUUCUGUUCUAUGACACAUUCUCUCUCUCUCUUGUUUAACUAAUCUUGUGGGGGGACACAAUUAAUCCCCAUUCCAAAUCCUAGUUUCCCUAACUCUAAAUCGAACCCUAAACCUAACCUUUAAUCCCUAAUUCGUUACCUUAACCACAAACGCCCUAGAAAUAGCCUUUUUCCAUGUGGGGACUAACAAAAUGGCCCCAGUUGGACAAAUGUGUGUUUGUUUACUAGUCUUAUAGUUAAAGUAUAGUUAAACACGUCCAUACACACAGACACACACACAUUUAUAAUGUUGAGAAAGUCACAAAUGUGUAGCAAUGAUAAUUGAACACUUUAAAAACAUUUUUGGCUCCAGUACAUUAUGGAUCUAGGAAAGGCAUUACAGCUAAGAGCCAGAGCAACAGCCUUUGAUUAAUAACCUGUUUUCUAUGCAGGACACUGAUACUUAUGCGGCCUCUUUGUUCUUAAAUGUAUUCAGUUCAAAUACAGUAGAGCAUAAUCUCUCAUUCAUAUGAAUGGAGUGUUGUCCCCAUGGAGCUCCAGAAUACAUUGAAUGGGAAACAUUGUGGGUGCUUCAUGAAUGGUGAGCUGUUUGGGUAACAAAGUUGACCAUGGGGGAGUGGUUGCUGCUUACUUUGUGAGUAAGGAGUGAGAGAAACGUAAGACUAAUUCAAUCUAUACGGUUUGUUUGGAUGUAUUUGUAAUAGCAAAACAGAACUGGUAUUUUGUGGUUUUCGUGAUGUUGUGCGAUUGACUGACAACGUCUUGUCUAGGGGAAAUGAGUAAGGGGAAAAGGUUAUGCUACUCUAGGUGUUUUUCCUCUUCUUACCCAAUACACUCUCCCUCUCCCAUCCUCACCAUUUACAAACCUUCUUAUGCUAGUCUUGCUUGCCAGCGAAUGGCACUUGAUAAAUACUAGCCUUACCUUUGCAACACAAAGAACAAACAUGUAUUGUAAUGUUGUACAAGAAAGCACCUGAGAGUAGAUAGGAUUAGAUCUUAUCGUCAAGUAGGGUACUAAGUAACUCGUAAACCUAUUGUAUAGCAAGAUCAAUAACACCUUGGUAACAGGACCCCUAUUUUUUGAAUACUUUUCCCCUAUCAUCACACAUUCAUAGGCUGAUAAUAGGCUUCCAUGACUACGAUAGGCAUUGUCCAGUCAGGCCUACUUUCAGCAGCGCUGUGAUGAUUGCUUGUCACAGGGUAUUGUUUCUGCUUGUUCAGCUACAUGACUAAUCACUAAGAACACAAGAGAGCACACGCUGUCUUCCUGCUCUUCUACCAUGUCAUAGUUCCUCUUACUUGAUUAGAAAAGGUUUUCCUCUUUUACCUUCCCAAACGCGGUUCUGUAUGACCACAACCCCCAUCACCUAGGCCCCAGGAUGACGCGGCAUGGGUUCGGUCAGCUGAUGGAGCAGAGUGAUGUAUGUGUCAUAUUGUGUAAUUUACAAUCACAUGCCAAGCAUUGUCAAGACAAGAAACAUCCACUUUUAGUCAUCAGUUUCACUUCUUUAAAAAUAUAUAUUUUUAGUUUGUUUAACUUUCCUGAACAAAAUUGCUGUAAAUGUACAACAUAAAACAAUUAAACAAAUGUACAUGAUUGACAACA